rnacentral:piRNA from 1 species
UGCAGCUAAUACCUUUAAACCAGUNUCCCCCU